UACGUAGGUGGCAAGCGUUAUCCGGAAUUAUUGGGCGUAAAGCGCGCGUAGGCGGGUAGAUUAGUCUGAUGUGAAAGCCCCCGGCUCAACCGGGGAGGGUCAUUGGAAACUGUCUAGCUUGAGUGCAGGAGAGGAGAGUGGAAUUCCAUGUGUAGCGGUGAAAUGCGUAGAGAUAUGGAGGAACACCAGUGGCGAAGGCGACUUUCUGGUCUGUAACUGACGCUGAUGUGCGAAAGCGUGGGGAUCAAACAGG
rnacentral:rRNA from 1 species